rnacentral:rRNA from 1 species
UACGGAGGGGGCGAGCGUUAUUCGGAAUUAUUGGGCGUAAAGGGCGCGUAGGCGGCCAGCGCAAGUCAGUUGUGAAAUCUCCGGGCUUAACUCGGAAAGGUCAACUGAUACUGCGCGGCUAGAGUGCAGAAGGGGCAACUGGAAUUCUCGGUGUAGCGGUGAAAUGCGUAGAUAUCGAGAGGAACACCUGCGGCGAAGGCGGGUUGCUGGGCUGACACUGACGCUGAUGCGCGAAAGCCAGGGGAGCGAACGGG